UACGUGAGGGCGCGAGCGUUGUCCGGAUUUAUUGGGCGUAAAGAGCUCGUAGGCGGCUUGUCGCGUCGACUGUGAAAUCCCGCGGCUCAACUGCGGGUCUGCAGUCGAUACGGGCAGGCUAGAGUUCGGUAGGGGAGACUGGAAUUCCUGGUGUAGCGGUGAAAUGCGCAGAUAUCAGGAGGAACACCGGUGGCGAAGGCGGGUCUCUGGGCCAUUACUGACGCUGAGGAGCGAAAGCGUGGGGAGCGAACAGG
rnacentral:rRNA from 1 species